CACGUAGGGUGCGAGCGUUGUCCGGAAUUAUUGGGCGUAAAGAGCUCGUAGGCGGUGUGUCGCGUCGGCCGUGAAAACCUGCAGCUUAACUGUGGGCUUGCGGUCGAUACGGGCAUCACUGGAGUUCGGCAGGGGAGACUGGAAUUCCUGGUGUAGCGGUGAAAUGCGUAGAUAUCGAGAGGAACACCUGCGGCGAAGGCGGGUUGCUGGGCCGACACUGACGCUGAUGCGCGAAAGCCAGGGGAGCGAACGGG
rnacentral:rRNA from 1 species